rnacentral:misc_RNA from 1 species
GCAGUGAUAAAGAGCGACUCUUCUUGGAGGAGGUUGACAGACGACAAAAAUGAGCAUUGCCAUGACUAGAGCCAGCAACAGUGGCAUCAACAAAUCAUCUGAAUCUGGAGCAGCACCCCAUUUUUGCAUUCAACUUCCAAUUUCUGUGAUUGUAUUUUGUAAAUGCAACAAUCAGAAGGGCAAAGAAUGAAAUUGCAGACAGAGUAAGAG